rnacentral:rRNA from 1 species
GACGAACCGUGCAAACGUUGUUCGGAAUCACUGGGCUUAAAGGGCGCGUAGGCGGUCGAUCACGUCCGGGGUGAAAUCUUUCGGCUUAACCGGAAAAGGGCCUUGGAUACGGGUCGGCUGGAGGGAGGUAGGGGCAGGUGGAACUUCCAGUGGAGCGGUGAAAUGCGUUGAUAUUGGAAGGAACGCCGGUGGCGAAAGCGACCUGCUGGACCUCUUCUGACGCUGAUGCGCGAAAGCUGAGGGAGCGAACGGGG